rnacentral:rRNA from 1 species
AGUGAACGCUGGCGGUAGGCCUAACACAUGCGAGUCGAACGGCAGCACAGUAAGAGCUUGCUCUUACGGGUGGCGAGUGGCGGACGGGUGAGGAAUACAUCGGAAUCUACUUUUUCGUGGGGGAUAACGUAGGGAAACUUACGCUAAUACCGCAUACGACCUACGGGUGAAAGCAGGGGAUCUUCGGACCUUGCGCGAUUGAAUGAGCCGAUGUCGGAUUAGCUAGUUGGCGGGGUAAAGGCCCACCAAGGCGACGAUCCGUAGCUGGUCUGAGAGGAUGAUCAGCCACACUGGAACUGAGACACGGUCCAGACUCCUACGGGAGGCAGCAGUGGGGAAUAUUGGACAAUGGGCGCAAGCCUGAUCCAGCCAUACCGCGUGGGUGAAGAAGGCCUUCGGGUUGUAAAGCCCUUUUGUUGGGAAAGAAAAGCAGCAGGUUAACACCCCGCUGUUCUGACGGUACCCAAAGAAUAAGCACCGGCUAACUUCGUG